UACGGAGGGUGCAAGCGUUGCUCGGAAUUAUUGGGCGUAAAGCGCACGCAGGCGGCGAUGUAAGUCAGUUGUGAAACUCCCGGGCUUAACCUGGGAACUGCAGCUGAUACUGCAUUGCUUGAGUACGGAAGAGGGGAGCGGAAUUCCCAGUGUAGAGGUGAAAUUCGUAGAUAUUGGGAGGAACACCGGUGGCGAAAGCGGCUCCCUGGUCCGAUACUGACGCUCAUGUGCGAAAGCGUGGGGAGCAAACAGG
rnacentral:misc_RNA from 1 species